rnacentral:rRNA from 1 species
GCGAACGCGGGUGCAGGGGAGGCUGUAAUAGGGAGGGGGGUGAGGUUGAGGUGAAUUAAUGGGCGUAAAGCGGGCGUAUGCGGUGGGGUCCGGCAGCCGGGAAAGCCCCGGGCUCAACCUGGGGACGGCGGUUGAGACGGCCCGUCUCGAGUGGGCUAGAGGAUCGUGGAAUUCCGGGUGUAGCAGUGAAAUGCGUAGAGAUGUGGAGGAACACCAAUGGCGAAGGCAGCCCCCUGGGUCGAUACUGACGCUCAUGCACGAAAGCGUGGGUAGCAAACAGGUUUAGAUACCCGUGUAGUC